rnacentral:rRNA from 1 species
UGCUAUGCGGGAUGCCGCGUAUGGGAAGUUCGCAGAGUGGCUUACGGCUCGUCUAAGUAUUUAUUGAACAUAAUCCAAGUACCCAUAGAGGGUGUAAGGCCCGUUCGACGAGUCGUAAGUGUCUCCCGCGUUCUUCUCGAGAGUCGGGUUGCUUGAAAAUGCAGCCCUAAGAGGUGGUAAACUCCAUCUAAGGCUAAAUACUACCACGAGACCGAUAGCGAACAAGUACCGCGAGGGAAAGUUGAAAAGAACUUUGAAGAGAGAGUUCAAUAGAGCGUGAAACUGCCACGAGGUUAAAGCGGAUGGACAGUCGUGGCAGAACCGGUGGGAAUCAGCUCCCCGGGCGUUGGAGGCCCUCCCGACGCGACGACCGACUCCUCGGCAUUGUCCUUUUCGGUACUCGUUACUGAGGUAAUGUUCGGGGAGGUACAAACUGGCGUCCGUUGUUGGAGGUAGUUUCCUCGUUACAGGGGGGUUGUCACUUUCCCCCUUAGUAAGCCGUCGUGGGCGUUGUGAGCGUUGUCGAUUACCCCUGAGCUCGGGAACCGAUCCUGAAAGCCCUUUUUGUCUUCUCGACUUAUCGGGCGAGUACGGGUCGGGGACGCUCCAGGGAAUAAGACGGACCUCGCGACGUUUCAAAAUAAAGAGACGGGUCGGUCUUAUGCAGAAUACGAUCGUUUGUUCUAUUAAUCUUUUUCUUCUUCGGAUGAUUUUGAUUUAGAGCUUUCGGUAUAUAAAACUUCCGACCCGUGCGCGACGCAUAUACGGCGCACGUCCAUCCGUCCCGUCUUGAAACACGGACCAAGGAGUCUAGCAAGUACGCGAGUCAUAAGGGUUCACUAAACCUUAGAUGGCGUAACGAAAGUAAUGUCGUAGUUAGUAGAAGUAUUUCAUCUCGAUGAUUGCUGCUGCUGCUGCGAUGGGUUCCAAUACCCUAGUUGGACCGAUCCCCUCGGAAAUGCCAUAGAAAGAAUUUUUUAAAUUUUUUUUGUGGCCGCUGCCGAAUAAUGAGGGGCGCAGGUCCAGGGCCCGCCAUUUAUAUCCUCUCUCUCGUAAAAAAAGAAGAUGAUAGGCGGGUUCCAAGAGCGUACGUGCUAGUACCCGAAAGAUGGUGAUCUAUGCCUGGCCAGGAUGAAGCCAGAGGAAACUCUGGUGGAGGUCCGUAGCGGUUCUGACGUGCAAAUCG